rnacentral:lncRNA from 1 species
UUAACUAUGUAAUUGAUUAAAUAAAAGUUAAAAAAGAGUCUCCAAUACCUAUUAGUACUGGGCAUGGAUUAAGCCAUUAGAAGUUAAGGGCAGAACCACGUAAAAAUCUUGGUGUUCUUAUUUAUUGUUUAUCUUGUUUGCAUUGUUUCAAUUCCGCACUUAAACACUUCAUAUUCUACAUUGAUAAAAGAAGUUAUGAUUUAACAGGUUCUGCAAAUAAGUUAACAUGUUCUACAAAUAAGUUAACAGGUUCUGCAUAUCAAUUCAAACACUUAAAUAGACAUGUGAUAACAUGUCUGGAUAGUUCAGUUAACUGAGAAUUAAAAAGUUGUCAUUGUAGUUCACUGUUAGCAUAAACACCUAUUCACCUCCCUCUAGGUGUGCAUACACUCGGAAUUUCAUUAUCUGCAAAUGAUCAAACAACAUAUGUGCAUGUGCAUAAAUACAAAAGCAUGUGAACUUAUUCUGAAAGUAGUUAGAAAAAUCAAGAACUAUCAAGAAAAUUCUGUAAAUUUGCAGAAUAUAUCACUAGCUUAAAAAGAAAAGCAAGAUUUUAGCUUUAUAAGGGAAAAAGAAAAAGAAAUCUAUGAAAUGUCAUUGUUUUCUUUCAGCCACAAACCAUAAUAAGACUGGAUCCGUAAUUAUAGGCCUCAAGAAAAGUGCAGUUGACAAAAGAGUGGAGAACAUAAAAAAAGAAGGGCAAUUGAAUAAAAUUAAAUAAUUCAAUGCCAUGCCAGGCCACCAGAUAAUAUAUUUAUGCUUGCUGCUCAACUUGUUCAUUACCAAUUCAACGUGUUGAUUAAGAAAUCACAUCUUCAAAUCUUUGAACCACAUAUGAUAGAUGCCAUAAACAGUUAAUCUCGUUCAUAUGCAAAAAUAUUGCCACAAAAGGUCAACAAAUUCAUUAUAAGAAGGGUCUCAUGGUGUCAUGAGCUUGUGAGAAAGAAUAGUUGUAAUUAUGCACUAGUAUUCUUCAUGAUAAUUAAUUAACUUACUAUCAAAUACAUACAUCAAGUAAACAACUUCAGUUGAGACUGAUCUGUUCCAAUUGUACAUCCAGAACUAAGUUGCCCGGAAACCACCAUUCCUUGAAUUACGACAAAAUGGUUUAACUCUUUCAACAGUACAAUCAAUUUGAUCAAACCACUUUGGGCAUCCAAGGUAUAUUACCAGCAAUAUUAACCAACUUUCCAGGCAAAAUAUAUGAACCCAACUUCAACUCCAGAAACAACAAAAGCCCCUUUCAACGGCUCCAGUCUUAUUAUGGCUUUAUAAGGGAAAAAGCAAAAGAAAUCUAUGAAAUGUAAUUGUUUUGUGUGUUCCCUAUUCUAGUCUUCAUAGCAUCAAUACAUCAAACAUGUGGUGCAUAUAUAACCAAAAUCAAAAUUGAUUGAGCACCAAAAUCACAAAUAUAACCAAAAUCAUAUUUGAUUAAGUACAAAUGGAUGAACAAAGUGAAGAAAUCGCAAAUAAGUAAACUGAAGUUAGAUGUCUUACCUAAUUGAAAGAUAACAGCGGGAGAAGCAAAAUUACCCUAGAAAAUAAAAAUUAUGCGAUCAAUUUUAAAGGAGAUGGAGGAGAGAAGGGAGAGGACAAAGAAGAGCGGGAAGAGAGAGAAAAGAGAAAGAAUAGAGAACAGAGAGGAGAGAAGAGAGACAUGUACCUGUGAUGGAUUCCAUGACAGGAGACUCAAGCUAUUAAAGGCCAUAGAGAUCGAUCGAUCGAUGAUUAGUCUGCAUGAAAAUGAGCGAGGCUUAGUACGGAAUGAAGUAAACCUACCUAGUAAGGUGGGAAUGAAAAAAAAACAUUAGAAUAACUAAAGGAA